ensembl:lncRNA
CUUCCUCCCUCCUCCCAUCUUUCCUUUCCCAUCCUUCCUUUUCCCCUGCAGCCUUCUUUCCCACUAAGCCCUUUCCGCAAAGGUCUGCUGUCUUUACCCCUGACCCUCAGUUCUAGGCAGUGGGUCUCAGUUUCCACCCGCAUCAAGCGCAACUUGGAAAAAUCUGUUUCCUCAGCUUUAUCCCGGUGACAAGAACCGGCAACAGCAACGGACUCUGAGGCUUUUCCAUCUUACUUCCUUCAUUUCCUGCUCACAGGGUGGAUUAAAAACUUGGUUACAAAACCUGGACUGGUGGCUCCUGGAAGAGCCCUGAGGGAAUUUCUGACGGGCUGGAGGAAGGAAAUCCUCUGUCUUACUUUUGCUGUUUUUUUUCUGGAGUGUUUUCCAGAGGACGACAGCCUGUGGACAUGGCCCCCGAGGGCUUUGGUGGGGGUGGCCUUCCUCCCUUUCCUCACCCCUGGCCUGGCCUGGGCUGACAGCCUGCUUCAGGGCCAAGGAACCAGCAAUGCCAGGCACUCCCUGAGCCCUGCUGGCCAAAAGGUCUCUGCCAUUCAUGGGCUCUCCUUUCCCCUCCCAGAGGAGGCCCCUUGGAAAAGCCCUGAAAGUCACCAUGGCUUCAGGUGCCCAUUCCUCACACUUCUAUCUUCCAUUCUGCUGCUGCUAAGUCGCUUCAGUCGUGUUCAGUCUGUGUGACCCCAUAGAUGGCAGCCCACCAGGCUCCGCUGUCCCUGGGAUUCUCCAGACUGAAUUUCACAAGUGGAGACAAUACCUUGUUAACCACCUAUACUAGAGUGAUGGGAAUGAGGCUGAGCUACAGGCAGCAGCUUCUAGCCCCUGGAUAUUUCUAGCACCUUCUUGCAGACCCCAUUGGAAGCCUUUGAGGAACUGUGUGAAUAUAACCUGUGCUGCUGGCUUCUGGACCCUGAGCAGAGAUUGGAUCCUGCAGUGCUGAAGCCUCUGAU